AUGCGUGCCGAGUCGGCCAGGAUGUUCACCAUCAUCAACAAGUGCGAGGCGACGGUGUGGCCGGCGGUGACGCCGGGGGACAGCUUCGGCGGGGGCGGGUUCGAGCUCAAGACGGGGCAGUCGGCCGUCUUCACGGCGCCGCCGGCGUGGUCGGGCCGCAUCUGGGGCCGCACGGACUGCGCCUUCGACCAGGCCGGCACCGGCAAGUGCGGCACGGGCGCCUGCGGCGCGGCCCUCAAGUGCGGCGCGUCGGGCGACCCGCCGGCGAGCCUGGCCGAGUUCACGCUCGCCACCACGGACUUCUACGACGUGAGCCUCGUGGACGGCUUCAACCUGCCCAUCACGGUGACCCCCGUGAGCGGGCGCGGCAACUGCUCCGUGGCCGGCUGCGACGGCGACCUCCGCGACACCUGCCCCGCCGAGCUCUCCGUGAAGGGCCCCAGCGGGAAGACCGCGGCGUGCCGGAGCGCCUGCGACGUGUUCAACACCGACCAGUACUGCUGCCGCGGCAAGUUCGGGGGGCCGUCCACCUGCCCGCCCACGCCUUACUCCAAGAAGUUCAAGGAGGCCUGCCCGUCGGCGUACAGCUACGCCUACGACGACCCCAGCAGCCUCUUCCAGUGCUCCGGCGCCGACUACGUCGUCACCUUCUGCGCAAACAGGUGA
rnacentral:rRNA from 1 species